AUGAUCUCACUCCACGGAGGGAAAAGGUUUGUUAAUUCAUUCAAAAGACGGGCUUUCCUAGCUCAUAUAGUGGAAAGCGCCCUUCCCACAUCGAUCCCUCGAGGUGGAAGAAUGAUGAAACCUGCCAAGUCUCUGGAGUGUGCUUCUAUCGCCCGAGCAAGAGAAGGGCUGCAGAUGAGCUAUCAAGUCGUGCAUUUCUCCCGAAACGGGUUUCCCUCCUUCCAUAGCAUCUUGCUUUCCUGGUUUGUUUAUGUCACUAAGCGUGAUAGCUUAACCGCGCUUCUAGCUCUAUCUCUAAAAGGAAUUCUUAAACCGGCCAUGCCAGACAAGUACUGGUUUAAGUUCCGCCAUCCCCUCUCCCAGUUGCUAUGA